AAAUGGGUUUAAUUUUUGGUCAUUCAACUUAUUAACAUAGUGAAUUAUAUUAAAGGUUUUUCAACUAUCAAAUCAUCCUACAUUACUGAAAUAAAUUCCAUUUACUUUCUUUAUAUUAAUAAUUAAAUGCACUACAGGAUUAUAUUUAUGUGAUUUAUUUAGCAUUUUACAUUAACAUCCAUAAAUAACAUAUCUAUAUAUAUUUUCAUGGUGAAAUAUUUUGGCAGUUCAUACUUAGAAAAUUUUUUAUCUUUUUACAGCCACAUCCACAGCAUAUGAAAGUUCCUGGGCUAGGAGUGAAUCGGAGAUGCAGCUGCCAGCCUAUGCCACAGCCAUGGCAACAUAGAAUCCAAGCCACAUCUGUGACCUAUGCUGCAGCUUGCAGCAGUGCCAGAUCCUUAACCCAAAGGCCAGGGAUUGAGCUUGCGUCCUCAUGGCACUAUGUGGGGUCCUUAAACCACUGAGGCACAAUAGUAACUCCAGAAAAGUUUUUAAAAUAUUGGAAUUUUCUAUCCUUUAAAAGUUUAAUUGACUUCACCUGUGACUCCAGUCUGGGCUGAUGUUUUUUAGAAUGAAUAUUUGGAAACCCCAGCUUCUCCCUUCACUCAGAAGGGAUAACUCUGAGUCAUGAUCUGUGGUUUUUCAUAAUCCCUAACUACAUGGGAGGCAGCUGCUCACAGCAGGGACCUUCUCCAUAUUGCACCCUUAUGGGCAUCCUUCCCUUCCCUGUCUCUCUUCUCUACUUCCCAUCUAGUGAUUUCUUAGGUCAUCUUCCAAAUACACUGCACUGAAAUCUCUGUCUCAGUGUCUAAACCUGGAGCAAAGCAACCUAGACACUUUCCCAACAGCUCCAUAACAAAAUUCAUUUAAGCUUAUUACCAUUAAUUCUGAGUCUCAUUCAGAGUCAGAACAGAAAGAAAUCAGGCAUUGUGAGGUGAGAGUCAAUGAUGAAAAAAAGUUCUUUGUAGGAACAGUAUUUUCAAAUUCAAUGAUCAGGACAACUAGCUAACAAAUUGUGUCAUCAUUUCAUGAUUCAUUAUAACUGUUGAAUAACAAAGAUUUCCUAUGUUGGUAAAAAAUAUGCUAUUGUUAUGCUUUAAAAAAGAACAAUUGAAGAACACUAUGGCUGUUGUAAUUUUAAUUUGCCCUUUUAAAUUAACUUAUAGCAAAUCUGCAUUUGCCUAUACUUAAUCUUCGGAGUCUAAUAUAAUGUUCUAAAGUUUGAAGGAUUUUUAUGAUUACUAAUAACGUAAGUACUAAUAACAACUUGGGAUUUACAACUCUCUGUAUAGGUUGGGCUUAUUCCAAAUGAUGGAAACUGAUACCAAAGAAAAUCUAAGAGAAUAUCAAUACUUUUUUAAAAAGUCACAAUCCUAUAAAAAAGACACACUGAAGAAAUAUAUUAUUUACUAAUCUGUUAUUAAUAUAACAGACCUAAUCUGCUUUUAGAAGUUGAGUUUCUCUGGUGAUUUACUGGGACCUUAGUUAUACUGAAGGACUACUGUUUGCAGUACUUAUCAUGAGACACACAGGCAUUAAUUACACAGUCCAUCUUACCCAGUAGUGGUAUUGGCUAAAGAGGAUUCAGUGCUGUACUUACAUUUUAAGACUACCUUAUUCUUUCUGAUCAAGACAAGCUCCCUGCUGUGAAUACCUAUACAUCGAACGGAGUGAUUUUAUCUAAUAGAGACCUGAUUAUCUCAGGAAGGCAUACUUUCUUACUCUAUUUCAAAUGGAUAAGAUUUUUUUUUUUUAAAUCAAACAACAUUUUUGGUGCACUUUCCCUGGGAAGAAAUUUACUUUUUCCAUGAUCAUUUAACAACUCUUUUUGGCAUCAGAUUAGUCUUAGAUACACAUCCUCCACCCAGUUUCACAACUCUCAAGGCUGCUUGUGGAUUUGGAAGAUUGACCUAGCCCAAACAUUCAUAUAAAGAAUGCCCUUGAGAGCAUAUUUUGAUUAGUCUGGACUCAAUUAAUAUCUGCUCUCUUCAGAUUUAAAUUUCACUCUCAUAAGAUAGCCAGAGACAAUUUUCCAAGAAAAAUAAUGUAAACCUUUUUAUUUGUAUUCUUAAAAAAAAAGAAACUACAUAUAUAAGAGAAAACAUACUUUGGAUAGAUUUUUGAAAACUGCUAUUUUUAUUAACAUGGAUUUGUUCCUUUUGAAAUUUGAAUCAUUAUUUGCAAAGUAUAAUUCUGAACUAUUAAAAAAUCCACUUUAGUAAAGUAUGGAUUUAACCUUUUGUUAAUAGACUUAUUUAUCUUCCUUUAGGUCUUUAAGAAUACCAUCUAUCAUCAAAAAAAAUACAGUAAUAACAAGUGAUGGUGAGGAUGUGAAGAAAAGGAAACCCUGUAUACUGUUGGUGAGAAUGUAAAUUUGUGCAGCCACUGUAGAAAGCAGUAUGGAGGUUUCUCAAAAAAUUAAAAAUAGAACUACUCUGUGACCCAGCAAUUCCAUUCCUGGGUAUAUAUCUGAAAAAAAAAAAAGACACUAAUUUGAAAAGAUACAUGCAUCCCAAUGUUCAUAGCAGUAUUAUUUGUAAUUGCCAAGAUAUGGAAGCAUAUCAAUCCAUCAAUGGAUGAAUGGAUAAAGGUGUGUGUGUGUGUGUGUGUGUGUGUGUGUGUAUUCCACAAUGGAAUACUACUUAGCAAUAAAAAGAAUGAAAUUUUGCCAUUUUCAGUGAUAUAGAUAGACUUGAGGGUAUUGUGUUAAGUGAAACAAGUCAGAGAAAGACAAAUACUAUAUGAUAUCACUUAUGAGUGGGAUCUAAAAAAAUACAACCAACUAGUGACUAUAAGGAUAUGUUACACAGCACAAGGAAUAAUGCCAAUAUUUUGUAGUAACUAUAAAGAGAGUAUAACCUUUAAAACUAUGAGUCACUAUUUUGUACACCUAUAACAUUAAAUACUGUAAAUUAAUAACUAUAUCUCAAUAACACUAUACUUCAAUUAAAGACUUUUUUAAAUUGCCUAAAUUAAUGAAAGCCUGCUGAAAAAUUUUAAAGAAGUUUGGUAACUACAUUCUAUUUCAUGAUUUUAGAUAAAUUUUGUUCUGUUACAAAAAUCAAUGUAGCAUUUAACAUAUUUUUUUCCUUUAGAUAAUGUUCUAAUGAGAAGGCUUUAUGUGCAUUAUUUCAUUUUAUAACUUGACCAAGAUCAUCUGGCUAUUAAAUAGUGGAAUCAAGAGAGAAAUCCAGACAGUUUGAUUCCAAAAUUUAUGCUAUUUAUUAGAGUGUUUGUUUAUGAUACCCUUUCCAUAAAGGAUUUUUUUCCCAAGAUUAAUUUUAAAUCUGACCUGCAGGGAUACAUCAAAUGCAGUAAGAUUACAUAAAUUAGAAACAAACUCAGAAUGGAUAAGUAAUGAGAUCCUGUUGUAUAACACUGGGAACUAUACCUAGUCACUUAUGAUGGAGCAAAAAAAAAAAAAAAAAAAAGAUAAUAUUCUAAGAAAGGUAAGUUUCUAGAGAAAAAAUUUAAAAUGUGGUGGUAAAUACCAAGAGCUAUUUUAUAAGGUCAGAGAUUUGGUUGUUACUAUACAAAAUGGUGACAUAAGUAAAAUUUGUCAGGAACAUUCACAUACCAUUUACUUACUCUUUUGGAGGAAGGGGACUCUGUCAUCUCAGAAUCUUAGACCCAGUACCAACCCUCAACUUGGGAAGGAAAGAUGCCCUAAACAAAUUAGAACUGGGGAUGCCAAUUGCACAUUUCACAAACGAGGUAACUCAGACACCAAAAGGACAAUGCAUUUGCUCAAUUUCCAGAGGAACCAAGUUAGAAAAUGGUACAUGUAUACUGAUUAACAUUCAGUUAAUGGGUCAUGUUGCAAUUCUAAUAAUAAAACAACUAUUAUAUCUGAGAAGUCACAAAAAUUAUUCCUAUUGUGCUAAAUUUCAUUAACAUAAUAAUAUUAAUAGAAUGUCCUAUUUUUUCUGUAAAGCCCUAUUGAAGGGUGACAUCUUUAAAAUUUAAUUUUAUAUAGUCUCCUCAAGCAAGCUGUCUCCUCUCAAUCCAGUCCAGUUUAGGUGCUCUUCCCACAUGCUUCCAUAGUUCCCUUUCUCCAUCAUGGUACUUUCUCUACCUUGAUUGUCUUAUGUCUUACCCAUCUCCUCCAGUGAACUCUAAACUCUUCGAAUACAGACAUCAAAUUUAUGCAUCUCUAUGCACUAAAAUCAUGUUAUUGACUCGAAUAAAAUAGGUGCCCAGUCAGUGCUAAAUGGAUGAAUUAAUGAAUAUUCAUGGUUCCAAGACCCCAUUAUUAUUGCCUACCCCUAAGAUCUGCUCACAGCUUGUUCUCAAGGUAAUCAAGAUUUUAGUUAAUAUAGGUUACCAUGAUGUUCCUCUUAAAGAUAUUUAAGUUUUCACUGGGGACAUAUAAGAGUCUACAAAAAUUCUGGUAAUGGACUUUCAGUCAUUGUAAUAGACUAUUAGGGAGGGAAGGAUGUACUUUUUUAAACAGAGAGACUCUCCAUAUCACAUCACCACUUAAACAGCCCACAUCACCACCACCCAGCCUUGGUGUUAUGCAGAGACAACAAACAGAUAUGUAUGCUUUCAGAGAGAUCCUGUGGGUCUGAUGAAUGCUAAGGUACAUGAAACCAUAUUGCUGUGAUUGGACCUGACUAGAUUAAACUUCCUUUUGGCUUGCUUUGCAAUGCUUCUGGUAUGAGAUGAUAUGAAAGAGAGAAGUAGUACAUGGCUAGUUGCAACCUUAGUAAGCAUGUGUCUUAUGGUUGCUGAGGCCUCCACUUUUUGCUAUUUUGAUUCUCACCUGGUAAUGAUUCCAGAUGUAUGACAUCUGAAAAAGACAU
rnacentral:lncRNA from 1 species